rnacentral:rRNA from 1 species
GACGAACGCUGGCGGCGUGCUUAACACAUGCAAGUCGAACGGAAAGGCCUCUUUCGGGGGGUACUCGAGUGGCGAACGGGUGAGUAACACGUGAGUAACCUGCCCUUGACUUUGGGAUAACUUCUGGAAACUGGGGCUAAUACCGGAUAGGAGCUCCUGCUGCAUGGUGGGGGUUGGAAAGUUUCGGCGGUUGGGGAUGGACUCGCGGCUUAUCAGCUUGUGGGUGGGGUAGUGGCUUACCAAGGCUUUGACGGGUAGCCGGCCUGAGAGGGUGACCGGCCACAUUGGGACUGAGAUACGGCCCAGACGCCUACGGGAGGCAGCAGUGGGGAAUAUUGCACAAUGGGUGGAAGCCUGAUGCAGCAACGCCGUGUGCGGGAUGACGGCCUUCGGGUUGUAAACCGCUUUCGCUCAUGACGAAGCUUUGUGUGACGGUAGUGGGUAAAGAAGCACCGGCUAACUACGUG